rnacentral:rRNA from 1 species
CUUUGGGAUAACCCUCGGAAACGGGGGCUAAUACCGAAUAUUCAUGUGCUGCCGCAUGGUGGUGGGUGGAAAGUUUUUCGGCUUGGGAUGGGCUCGCGGCCUAUCAGCUUGUGGGUGGGGUGAUGGCCUACCAAGGCGACGACGGGUAGCCGGCCUGAGAGGGCGACCGGCCACACUGGGACUGAGACACGGCCCAGACUCCUACGGGAGGCAGCAGUGGGGAAUAUUGCACAAUGGGCGGAAGCCUGAUGCAGCGACGCCGCGUGAGGGAUGACGGCCUUCGGGUUGUAAACCUCUUUCAGCAGGGACGAAGCGUGAGUGACGGUACCUGCUGGAGAAGCGCCGGCCAACUACGUGCCAGCAGCCGCGGUAAGACGUAGGGCGCAAGCGUUGUCCGGAUUUAUUGGGCGUAAAGAGCUCGUAGGCGGUUUGUCGCGUCGGCUGUGAAAUCCCGUGGCUCAACUGCGGGUCUGCAGCUGAUACGGGCAGGCUAGAGUUCGGUAGGGGAGACUGGAAUUCCUGGUGUAGCGGUGAAAUGCGCAGAUAUCAGGAGGAACACCGGUGGCGAAGGCGGGUCUCUGGGCCGAUACUGACGCUGAGGAGCGAAAGCGUGGGGAGCGAACAGGAUUAGAUACCCUGGUAGUCCACGCUGUAAACGUUGGGCGC